rnacentral:lncRNA from 1 species
GUGCAUUCAUACCUGCGCAAAAGCUGACCAUUUGUGUUUUUUUGUUUUUGUGUGUGCAGGGAACCCGAGUAUCGUUUCUCCAACCUGCGCAGUCAGGAUGACAGCAGCUGCAUCACAGCAGACCUGCUGAGUACUACCAGCAGCAACGGUACAGUGUACCAGCAGGAAUCGGAUAACUUGAUCUUACAGGAUUUCACAGGAUCAGUGAAGCACAGCUCCAUUUCCCUGACAUGAUGAACGCUCAUCGUUGAAAGCCUCUGCACUAAAAACUAACCGCAAGCCACGCUUUCUUGGAAACGUCCCACCACUUUCAUGGAAGCCCCUUUGUGUCAAGUUUUUAUUUUUUAAUUAAUUAAAUAUUAAUGUUAUUCAUUUUUAUUUAUUAAGCACAGUUCUCAAGUUUCUUUUGUCUCUCUUUGAUUGCUGUAUUGGUUUGUUAUUGUUUUGUAAGCUUGUGAAAAUGAAAAGAAAUUUUAAAAAUCUUUAAAAACAAGCUGCAUUAAAAACCUUGUUGUUUGUUCAUUUGGUUAUAUUUGUCUAAGCUAUAUUUUUUGUUUUGUAAUAUUUUUUAUCAAAUGUUCACAGGAUUUCUUAGUAACACAUGAAAAAAAGUUUUAUGAAGUAAGGUGCUUUUCUUAUGCAGUU